CUUUCCCCAAGGGUUCCGCAUUAGCCUAACCAAGACUUUCUCUGAGACUCUUAGUUAUUAUGAUGCUACUUCCACCAGCACCAGGGUUCUUGUUGCUAUCUGGCUGUUGAGUGAUUCAGUCCCACUGAGCAAUGUCAACCUGAUUGUCUUUCUUUGUUUUUAAGAAACAGGGUCUUGCUCUGCUGCCCAGGCUGGAGCACAGUAGUGUGAUCAUAGCUCACUACAGCCUUCAACUCCUGGGCCUUAGCAAUCCUCCUGCCUCAGCCUCCCAAGGAGCUAUGGCUGCAGGUAUCCGCCACCACUCAUUGACAGCCACUUCCAGUACUCACUGUCUUGGACACAGACUUGAGUAAAAGUACAGGGGCAAGAGGCCUGGAUGAAGAAAUACCCUCAGAAACUCCCACUCUUCUGGUUCCUGCUGAAGACUCCAGUAAUAAAAGUUAUUCAUACCUACCUCCACCAUCUUGGCUGGGAAGUCAAGGAUACAGGAAGAAGAUAGCAGCCCGCAACCCGGAAGAGGGCCCUCACCAGAACCUACCAUGCUGGCACCCAGACCUCAGACUUCCAGCCUCCAGAAAUACACCAUCUGGCUCUGUCACCCAGGCUGGAGUGCAGUGGCCUGGUCACAGUUCACUGCAGCUUCGACUUCCCUGGCUCAAGUGAUCCUCCCUCCUCACCCUACAGGCAUGCACCACCGUGCCCAGGAGCUCCCUCUGCUGCAGGAACUCAACGAUAGGGAGGAAGAGUCCAGAAAAGUAGGGCUGUCAGCACCUCUGUGAGCAGCCGACGAUCCACAGCGGAUGGAGUUUGGUGGUAAAGGUACUCACUUCCUGUCUCUCUGGUGAUGAUUUUGAGCAUGUUCUACAAAGUCUUUCAGAUGGUCCCAGUAGGUUGGAGCCCAGCUGCCCUCAGUGGUAACCUGCCCAUUAACGUAUCCUGUGUUGGUUUCCUUUCCUCCCCUACCUCACCUCCCCACUCCCCUUUCUAUGAUUCCUAGAGUCACCUCCCAAAUAAACUUUCACAUUUACA
rnacentral:lncRNA from 1 species